AAUUGCUAGUAAUGGCAGGUCAGCAUACUGCCGUGAAUACGUUCCCGGGCCCUUGUAUACACCGCCCGUCACACCAUGAGAGUUGGAAAUACCCGAAGCCUGUGAGCUAACUUAAAGAGGCAGCAGUCGAAGGUAGAGCCAAUGAUUGGGGUGAAGUCGUAACAAGGUAGC
rnacentral:rRNA from 1 species